UAGGGCGAUUCGAAGCUCGGCGAUCUCCAAUGCGGUCACGAGCAUACGCUCACCGGACUCAUUCCGGCGCUGGCAGGUGCCAGCCUGAUCUAUGGGCCCG
rfam:Actinobacteria bacterium RBG_16_64_13 RBG_16_scaffold_20559, whole genome shotgun sequence.